rnacentral:rRNA from 1 species
UACGUAGGGUGCGAGCGUUUGUCCGGAAUUAUUGGGCGUAAAGAGCUUGUAGGCGGUUUGUCGCGUCUGCCGUGAAAGCCCAGGGCUUAACCCUGGGUCUGCGGUGGGUACGGGCAGACUAGAGUGUGGUAGGGGAGACUGGAAUUCCUGGUGUAGCGGUGAAAUGCGCAGAUAUCUGGAGGAACACCGGUGGCGAAGGCGGCGACCUGGUCCUAUACGUGACACUCAUACACGAAAAGCG